rnacentral:lncRNA from 1 species
CACCCUUAACCUCUUCUUCUCUCCCAAAUCCUCUCUAAAACACCCUCAAACCCUAGCCACCUCCACCAUAAUCCGCCCUAAUCCAUGGCCUCACAAGGUCAUCAGAGACAUUUACCAGUCUUCCAUGGCUAAUAUAUGUUGUCCUUAUGGUUUCAAGUCUAAACUAUGAAGAACUGUAGUCUAGUCUUCGUUUGAUUUUUAGAUCAUAGCCCUUCUUCGGGAAUCUUUGACCUUUCUCCAUCCAACUGUGGUCAUUUGAGUUAGACCUUUGAUUCCCCUGGUUAGAUCGGUAACUUUCGAAGUCUUUCUCACCUUUGCUAGAUUUUCUAGAACCCUAAUCUCUAAG